rnacentral:rRNA from 1 species
GACGAACGCUGGCGGCGUGCUUAACACAUGCAAGUCGAACGAUGACGACCGAGCUUGCUCGGUCUGAUUAGUGGCGAACGGGUGAGUAACACGUGAGCAACCUGCCCUUCACUCUGGGAUAACCUCGGGAAAUCGGGGCUAAUACCGGAUAUGAGCUCCUGUCGCAUGGCGGGUGUUGGAAAGUUUUUCGGUGAAGGAUGGGCUCGCGGCCUAUCAGUUUGUUGGUGAGGUAGUGGCUCACCGAGGCGAUGACGGGUAGCCGGCCUGAGAGGGCGACCGGCCACACUGGGACUGAGACACGGCCCAGACUCCUACGGGAGGCAGCAGUGGGGAAUAUUGCACAAUGGGCGAAAGCCUGAUGCAGCGACGCCGCGUGAGGGAUGACGGCCUUCGGGUUGUAAACCUCUUUCAGCAGGGAAGAAGCGAAAGUGACGGUACCUGCAGAAGAAGCGCCGGCUAACUACGUG